rnacentral:rRNA from 1 species
UGGGGAAUCUUGCGCAAUGGGGGAAACCCUGACGCAGCGACGCCGCGUGCGGGAUGAAGGCCUUCGGGUUGUAAACCGCCUUCAGCAGGGACGAGGCCUUAUGGUGACGGUACCUGCAGAAGAAGCUCCGGCUAAAUACGUGCCAGCAGCCGCGGUAAUACGUAUGGAGCAAGCGUUAUCCGGAUUCAUUGGGCGUAAAGCGCUCGUAGGCGGUCUGUUAGGUCGGCAAGUUAAAUCCGGGGGCUCAACCCCCGUCCGCUUCCGAUACCGGCAGACUUGAGUUUGGUAGGGGAAGGUGGAAUUCCUAGUGUAGCGGUGGAAUGCGCAGAUAUUAGGAAGAACACCGGUGGCGAAGGCGGCCUUCUGGGCCAUAACUGACGCUGAGGAGCGAAAGCUAGGGGAGCGAACAGG